rnacentral:tRNA from 1 species
GGAGGGGUGGCAGAGUGGUCGAAUGCGGCGGUCUUGAAAACCGUUAUCCGCGUAAGCGGAUCGUGGGUUCGAAUCCUACCCCCUCCG